GCCUGCGGAAGGAUCAUUACCGAGUGAGGGCCCUUUGGGUCCAACCUCCCACCCGUGUUUAUUUUACCUUGUUGCUUCGGCGGGCCCGCCUUUACUGGCCGCCGGGGGGCUCACGCCCCCGGGCCCGCGCCCGCCGAAGACACCCCCGAACUCUGUCUGAAGAUUGAAGUCUGAGUGAAAAUAUAAAUUAUUUAAAACUUUCAACAACGGAUCUCUUGGUUCCGGCAUCGAUGAAGAACGCAGCGAAAUGCGAUACGUAAUGUGAAUUGCAAAUUCAGUGAAUCAUCGAGUCUUUGAACGCACAUUGCGCCCCCUGGUAUUCCGGGGGGCAUGCCUGUCCGAGCGUCAUUGCUGCCCUCAAGCCCGGCUUGUGUGUUGGGCCCCGUCCUCCGAUUCCGGGGGACGGGCCCGAAAGGCAGCGGCGGCACCGCGUCCGGUCCUCGAGCGUAUGGGGCUUUGUCACCCGCUCUGUAAGGCCCGGCCGGCGCUUGCCGAUCAACCCAAAUUUUUAUCCAGGUUGACCUCGGAUCAGGUAGGGAUACCCGCUGAACUUAAGCAUAUCAAA
rnacentral:rRNA from 1 species